UUACGGGAGGCAGCAGUGGGGAAUUUUGGACAAUGGGGGCAACCCUGAUCCAGCCAUUCCGCGUGAGUGAAGAAGGCCUUCGGGUUGUAAAGCUCUUUCAGCAGGAACGAAACGGUGGCUACUAAUACUAGCUACUAAUGACGGUACCUGAAGAAGAAGCACCGGCUAACUACGUGCCAGCAGCCGCGGUAAUACGUAGGGUGCGAGCGUUAAUCGGAAUUACUGGGCGUAAAGCGUGCGCAGGCGGUUCCAUAAGACAGAUGUGAAAUCCCCGGGCUUAACCUGGGAACUGCGUUUGUGACUGUGGGACUGGAGUGUGGCAGAGGGGGGUGGAAUUCCACGUGUAGCAGUGAAAUGCGUAGAGAUGUGGAGGAACACCGAUGGCGAAGGCAGCCCCCUGGGUCAACACUGACGCUCAUGCACGAAAGCGUGGGGAGCAAACAGGAUUAGAUACCCGCGU
rnacentral:rRNA from 1 species